UACGUAGGCAGCGAGCGUUGUUCGGAGUUACUGGGCGUAAAGGGUGUGUAGGCGGUUGUUUAAGUUUGGUGUGAAAUCUCCCGGCUCAACUGGGAGGGUGCGCCGAAUACUGAAUGACUUGGAGUGCGGGAGAGGAAAGUGGAAUUCCUGGUGUAGCGGUGAAAUGCGUAGAUAUCAGGAGGAACACCGGUGGUGUAGACGGCUUUCUGGACCGUAACUGACGCUGAGACACGAAAGCGUGGGGAGCGAUCCGG
rnacentral:rRNA from 1 species